UGUGCCUUCGGGAACCGUGAGACAGGUGCUGCAUGGCUGUCGUCAGCUCGUGUUGUGAAAUGUUGGGUUAAGUCCCGCAACGAGCGCAACCCUUAUCCUUUGUUGCCAGCGGUCCGGCCGGGAACUCAAAGGAGACUGCCAGUGAUAAACUGGAGGAAGGUGGGGAUGACGUCAAGUCAUCAUGGCCCUUACGACCAGGGCUACACACGUGCUACAAUGGCGCAUACAAAGAGAAGCGACCUCGCGAGAGCAAGCGGACCUCAUAAAGUGCGUCGUAGUCCGGAUUGGAGUCUGCAACUCGACUCCAUGAAGUCGGAAUCGCUAGUAAUCGUGGAUCAGAAUGCCACGGUGAAUACGUUCCCGGGCCUUGUACACACCGCCCGUCACACCAUGGGAGUGGGUUGCAAAAGAAGUAGGUAGCUUAACCUUCGGGAGGGCGCUUACCACUUUGUGAUUCAUGACUGGGGUGAAGUCGUAACAAGGUAACCGUAGGGGAACCUGCGGUUGGAUCACCUCCUU
rnacentral:rRNA from 1 species